UUACUACUUACUCGCAACCUGUUUAUACCUGAACUCUUCCGACCGCCUUCCCGAUACUCGAACAGGGCGAACGGAUGGUACAUAAGCCUCGAUGUGGUAGCCGCUGGGAUAUCCGAGCCGCAAGUUACGUAAUAAAUCGAUUCUCCUCCAGGCUUCCUUUUUUCUUCACCGCUUAGAACGUGAAGCUCUUGUUAUUAUCUUUGAAAGCCGAGUCUCGAAGGCACGCGAAAAUCACGAUUAUUAAUUAUUCUUAUUGUGUCUCAUUAUUAUUAACGUUAUUAUUCUUAUAUGAUUCAAUAUCUCACCGUUUUAUUAUCAUUUUCACUUAUUUAUUGAUUUGAUUAUUAUUAUUAUUGUUUCGAUGUGCCGCUAUUGUUAGCGUUGUUGUUACUCUAUUCCUUUCCUCACUGUGUGCGUAGUGUCUGUUGCGAGCUUUAUUUGCGCAGCUGCAUAAAAUGUUAAUUAAUAACGCGAGAUCUUCGCACAUACGCAUAUAACAAUUAACCCGUAAAAGUUCUUCUCUUCCGCUGACGCGAAUGCUAAAACGCAAUCUUAGACUUACUUCCGGGAUGCACGAUGUCAAAUUUCUCGACCGGUCCUUUCGUCCAUUCUCGUUUUGGAUCUGAAUAGUCAAGUUUUCAUAGUCGCUCUGCUCUUGCAAAUUAAGAACGAGUCACCUUCUAGAGCUACCUAAUGUGUUACAGCAUGCUCGCAAUUUUCUUGUUGCUUCAGCAGGCUAAAUAUAUUUCAAUACAUCCAAUGUUCAGUUAUUAAUUUAUUUUUCUGACGAAUUCACACAUACACACAGAUCCAUGCGUUACGUUAAAGUAAACAUUGGGCGAUUAUACUUUAAAAUUCAAACUCACAGAUCACUUUUGAGACAUUCGCUGAUAACAUCCUACGCUUUUAAGCUUUCUAUCAGAUUGGCUAUUGCGUCUCUCGAGAACAGAGAGAUUAUACAUCCACGUUCUUCGCAUCAUGCGACAAAUACAUCGUAAUCCCGUUGUAAACAUAGCGUGAAAAGCGUGAAAACUUUUCAUUGUAAACUCUAUAGCUCGACAAAUUGACAGCGUAGAAAAGAAAGACAAAUAUAGAAAAAGUAGCGAUACAUUUCAGAGAAAUCGAAUCAGAAAUAUAUUUGUAAAAUUGUAAUAAAUUACUAAGUAUUGUUAUUGGCUCUUAUAUAGCGUUGCAAGAAUUGUACUUGUGUUCUUAUAUUAUAAUAAGUUGCAACGAAUCCAACUUUUUCGAGAUCGUGUACGCGAAUUCUUGUCAAAGUUUUCGUUGAUUUAUUUCGCAAGGAGAAUCGAGAAGGGUGAAAAGUAAGUUCGCGUAAGUUUUCACGUUUCCUCGUGACGGGCGAUGACGAAAGUUGACAAUUUACGAAUAUACAAUUCUCUGCACGUUUAUCGCAGCAUAUGGCAGUACGACGAUUAUUACGUAAGUCGCGCUUGUUCUUAUCGAAGCACCUGCGUCAGGUGUGUCUGUCAUAACUGCGCUCUCGUGCAACUUCUUUGCCCGCGUAUCUCUCUUUCGCGCUAUUAUUCUUAUUACUCUGCAAGAGAUAUAACUUCUGCCUCACUAUAUACUCUUCAAUGCUUCAAACCGUCCGACUCUCUGUUGCCUGUGAUAGAUACACAUUUUACGAACUCGACUCGUUCGCUGGGAAAACGAGGUCCGGCUUAACUUCGAAAUUUAUUAGCGAGGCAUAAGCGCCGAGGCGGAUGCACAUUUCCGAUGCGAGUUAUACGUUUACCGCAGUUUACCGACCAAAAAACCAAAACAGAAAUAGAAAAUAAAAAGUUACCAAUGAUCAAGCACUAUGUCCUCGUUUAUGCCCAUUUAAUAAUAAUAUUGAUAUAUAUAUAUAGAUAUAUAUAUAUAUAUUCAUUAAAAAGAGAGGGAGAACAGAUGCAGCGAUAUACAGACAGCGAAUACUAAUAUGUUAUUUUCACGCGGGUGACUUUAAAGGAAAAUGCGAAACGAAAAAGAAACGAAAUCGAAUUGUCCCGUCCUUUCAUUCUUUUAUUCGAGAUUUUUGCCCCUUUCGCCAAUCUCCCGAGAGCUUAUAAUGAUUCGUAUACAGAUAUAAUUAACAUGCUCGACACUUAAUCGACGUGUUUAUUGAUUUUUACGUCGAUAAAAUAUUUACCUGUUACAUAAGGAAUUCUUAUAUAAAUAUAUAUAUCUCACUAAAAUCUCUCAAACACACAUGAUUUUAAACGAUUUUGACGAUUUUGUAAUUUUUUUGCUCGGCCUUGUGCGCCAUUCUUGAUGUAUUUAAAAAUUCCCGAUCGUUAUGAAAAAUUGUACCAUUAACUUUGUUACAUUUUAUCAGAAAUAUAGAGAUGUAUACCGAAA